rnacentral:rRNA from 1 species
CCUACGGGGGGCAGCAGUGGGGAAUAUUGGGCAAUGGAGGAAACUCUGACCCAGCAACGCCGCGUGAAGGAUGAAGGUUUUCGGAUUGUAAACUUCUGUCGCGAGGGAUGAAGAAUGACGGUACCUGAGUAAGAAGCCCCGGCUAACUACGUGCCAGCAGCCGCGGUAAUACGUAGGGGGCAAGCGUUAUCCGGAUUUACUGGGUGUAAAGGGAGCGUAGACGGUGCGCCAAGUCUGGAGUGAAAUGCCGCAGCUUAACUGCGGAACUGCUUUGGAAACUGGCGAACUAGAGUGCGGGAGGGGUAAGCGGAAUUCCUAGUGUAGCGGUGAAAUGCGUAGAUAUUAGGAGGAACACCGGUGGCGAAGGCGGCUUACUGGACCGUAACUGACGUUGAGGCUCGAAAGCGUGGGGAGCAAACAGGAUUAGAUACCCCUGUAGUC